CCUACGGGAGGCAGCAGUGAGGAAUAUUGGUCAAUGGCCGGAAGGCUGAACCAGCCAUGCCGCGUGAAGGUCAGUGCCCUAUGGGCGUUAAACUUCUUUUGUGCGGGAGCAAUAAUGGUCACGUGUGGCCAGACGAGAGUACCGUACGAAUAAGCAUCGGCUAACUCCGUGCCAGCAGCCGCGGUAAUACGGGGGAUGCAAGCGUUUUCCGGAUUUAUUGGGUUUAAAGGGUGCGUAGGCUGUGAGGUAAGGCAGCGGGGAAAUGCCCCCGCUCAACGGGGUGAAGUGCCAUUGAUACUGCCUUGCUGGAAUGCGGAUGCCGUGGGAGGAAUGUGUGGUGUAGCGGUGAAAUGCAUAGAUAUCACACAGAACACCGAUUGCGAAGGCAUCUCACGAAUCCGCGAUUGACGCUGAUGCACGAAAGCGUGGGUAUCAAACAGGAUUAGAUACCCGAGUAGUC
rnacentral:rRNA from 1 species